UACAGAGGGUGCGAGCGUUAAUCGGAAUUACUGGGCGUAAAGCGCGCGUAGGUGGCUUUUCAAGUCGAUUGUGAAAUCCCCGGGCUUAACCUGGGAACUGCAGUCGAGACUGUCUAGCUAGAGUAUGGGAGAGGGAAGUGGAAUUUCAGGUGUAGCGGUGAAAUGCGUAGAUAUCGGAAGGAACAUCAGUGGCGAAAGCGGCUUCCUGGACCAGCACCGACGUUCAGGCACGAAAGCGUGGGGAGCAAACAGG
rnacentral:rRNA from 1 species